AUUGAACGCUGGCGGCAGGCCUAACACAUGCAAGUCGAGCGGAUGAGGAAAGCUUGCUUUUCGAUUCAGCGGCGGACGGGUGAGUAAUGCAUAGGAAUCUGCCUGUUAGUGGGGGAUAACUCGGGGAAACUCGGGCUAAUACCGCAUACGUCCUACGGGAGAAAGUGGGGGAUCUUCGGACCUCACGCUAACAGAUGAGCCUAGGUCGGAUUAGCUAGUAGGUGAGGUAAUGGCUCACCUAGGCGACGAUCCGUAACUGGUCUGAGAGGAUGAUCAGUCACACUGGAACUGAGACACGGUCCAUACUCCUGCGGGAGGCAGCAGUUGUGAAUAUUGGACAAUGGGCGAAAGCCUGAUCCAGCCAUGCCGCGUGUGUGAAGAAGGUCUUCGGAUUGUAAAGCACUUUAAGUUGGGAGGAAGGGUAUUCACCUAAUACGUGGGUACUUUGACGUUACCAACAGAAUAAGCACCGGCUAACUCUGUGCCAGCAGCCGCCGCGGUAA
rnacentral:rRNA from 1 species